rnacentral:rRNA from 1 species
ACGAAGGCAGCAGUGGGGAAUAUUGCACAAUGGGGGAAACCCUGAUGCAGCGACGCCGCGUGAGUGAAGAAGUAUUUCGGUAUGUAAAGCUCUAUCAGCAGGGAAGAAAAUGACGGUACCUGACUAAGAAGCCCCGGCUAACUACGUGCCAGCAGCCGCGGUAAUACGUAGGGGGCAAGCGUUAUCCGGAUUUACUGGGUGUAAAGGGAGCGUAGACGGCGAUGCAAGUCUGAUGUGAAAGCCCGGGGCUCAACCCCGGCACUGCAUUGGAAACUGUGUUGCUAGAGUGCAGGAGAGGUAAGUGGAAUUCCUAGUGUAGCGGUGAAAUGCGUAGAUAUUAGGAGGAACACCAGUGGCGAAGGCGGCUUACUGGACUGUAACUGACGUUGAGGCUCGAAAGCGUGGGGAGCAAACAGGAUUAGAUACCCUGGUA